UUUGUUGUCUGUGGUUCUUUAAUAUAGGUUCGAGAAAAAGUACCCAUCAUUUGGUGCCGAAAACCGGGAUCUCUCAACCCCCCGCUGUCAGGCAGAGGAAGACGCGCUGAAUCCGUGCACGGCCAGAGUCAACUGGACCUGGAAAGAAAGACCCAGGAAGCAAAAUUCUUCGCUGGGCCAGCGACACAUGUCCGACUUUGUCUGCCAACGGCGGAGUGACGAGAUCCGACUGGACAACCCGAAAACUACAGAAACGAGGCCGCUCCAAUCGAGCAAGGUGACUGGGUCUACAUAAAGGUCAUCAAACGAAAGAACUGGGCGAGUCCACGGUGGGAAGGACCGUUCCAGGUGCUGAUGACCACACCAACAGCUGUAAAGAUUGCUGAAAGACCCAGCUGGAUACAUCUCAGUCACUGCAAGCUGCAGAGAGUGUUGGAUCCCUAAUCCGGAGUAGAGAGGAAGGAGAGCUUUUAGAGCUUCCGGGAUACAAAGGGGUCCUACAUUUUAGUUGUAGUUCGUCUCAAACCCGGUGAAGAAACGCUAAGAUUCUCACUCCUUUAGUUUGGGGGUUCUGACAUCUCUGUACGCCGAGCAGCAAUGGAGACUCCAUAUGCCAGAUGGAUCUUCUACUGCGCUGUGACUGCAGCAUGUCUGAUGUUUGGAGAAGGAAGCGAGCCUGAGUUCCACCCGCAUGACAGCACCAAUCUGUGUGGAAGCUGAUGAACAGGACUGCUCACGAGGAGAACGAGGUGAACUGCUAUGUGUGUGCGCAGCUACCAAUCGCCACACACAACUCAGGUCUGCACCCAGGGAGCAUCACUGAUGACAAACAGAUGUGUCUCUAUGGCCUGAGCACACAACCACGACUCAGCGUCCCCGUGAAAAGAAGAAAAUGCAAAUGGUGCAAAAAGGAUUUUUCUGUUCUACUUCGGACAGGAGAUGCCACAAAAGGACUUUUUGGAUCUAUGAACUGUUCAUACACCUACUGCGACAGACACCGGAUCACAUCAACUACAUUGCCUGCAGGGGUCAAAGGGCGACUCCACACUGCAAAGUCUGGAAGGACAACCCAGACUGUGACAACCUGCUUCUGGAGAGGAGUUUCAACAUCACGCAUAAGAAAAAGAGGAGACAGGAAACAACACUGUGCAGCUCCAUAGUGCCAGGAGAUUAUGGCUCACGGAUGUUGGCAGACUGGUACUUCAUAUGCGGGAAUGAAGCGUACAUGUUCUUGCCAAAAAAUUGGGGAGGACUGUGUGCUGUGGUUCCUUUGAUCAACCCGAUUGCGUUCAUCAGGAAAGCACAGAAUGAUCUACACACCCGCUCCAAACGAACAGUUAUGUCAGAGGUCAAAAGAUGGGGAGGCCUAACAACACAUACUGGAGUUCCAUGGGAAUUCAGGAUUUGGAACGGCG